CCAGAUGGCCGGAUGGCCGCCGCCGCUUGCAAAAGCGGGGGAGGAAAGUCCGGGCUCCACGGAAAUACGGUGCCGGUUAAUGGCCGGCGGGGGCGACCCCAGGGACAGUGCCACAGAGAGCAGACCGCCGCUCCAUCGCUGCAAAGCGGUCGGGCGGUAAGGGUGAAAGGGUGCGGUAAGAGCGCACCGCGCGGCCGGUAACGGUCGUGGCAAGGUAAACCCCACCGGGAGCAAAACCAAAUAGGGGCGACAUGCCGGUGCAAGCCGGCGGGAUCUGUUUCCGGUCCGUCGCCCGGGUCGGUUGCUUGAGGCGGUCGGUAACGAUCGUCCUAGACGAAUGGCCAUCGGCCGCGGGCAACCGCGGUCACAGAACCCGGCUUACAGGCCAUCUGGCAGA
rnacentral:RNase_P_RNA from 1 species